UACGGGAGUGGCAAGCGUUAUCCGGAAUUAUUGGGCGUAAAGGGAGCGCAGGCGGUUCAUUAAGUUAGGCGUGAAAGCCCCGGGCUCAACCUGGGAACUGCAUUCCAAACUGUCAAACUAGAGUGUGGUAGAGGGAGGUAGAAUUUCCUGUGUAGCGGUGAAAUGCGUAGAUAUAGGAAGGAAUACCGAUGGCGAAGGCAGCCUCCUGGACCAACACUGACGCUGAGGUGCGAAAGCGUGGGGAGCAAACAGG
rnacentral:rRNA from 1 species